UACGGGGGGAGCAAGCGUUGUUCGGAUUUACUGGGCGUAAAGGGCGCGUAGGCGGCCACUGCAAGUCAGUUGUGAAAUCUCCGAGCUUAACUCGGAAAGGUCAACUGAUACUGCAGGGCUAGAGUGCGGAAGGGGCAACUGGAAUUCUCGGUGUAGCGGUGAAAUGCGUAGAUAUCGAGAGGAACACCUGCGGCGAAGGCGGGUUGCUGGGCCGACACUGACGCUGAUGCGCGAAAGCCAGGGGAGCGAACGGG
rnacentral:rRNA from 1 species